UACUCUUGUGUAUGUCUAUAGCCCAACCUUCAUAAGCAUAUUCAAUACAUGACAAGCAUGUUGAAUCCUAGCUGUCCAUUGGCAGAGUCAUGGAAUAGUCUGGAGAUUUCGUAGCCCAAGAAUCACGCUAGCCUGGUCAUCAGGUAGGGCACACAGUAUAAUAAUGUAGACCAUUUGUUAACACAUUUUUAAUUGUGAACUGAUUUCAUGUGUUGCGGCUCAUCUGAUGACUGGACUGUUUUGAUUCUUGGGCCUUGGCUUCUAGGAGUUGUGGGCCACCUGAUUGACAGCUUGAGUCUUGCAUGUGUGCCAUGUUGGUGCAUAUUCAGGUGUACCAGCAAUGGGCUGUACACUAUACAUGGGAUUAGCGAAUAUCUGACAUGAUAUACUUUUUAUUCUAUGGGCCUUUGUGCAUUUUGGGUUCUUGUUGGAGAAGGCUUAGAGUUGUGAGAUGUUUAAAAUGGUAAUACUUGCAAUUGGGAUUUCACCUUGCAACUGCCAUGGAUUUGUUUUUAAUGUGAUUUGAGUUUGUGGAAAGCCGAUCUAUGCCUUUUCACACCUCCUGAAGUAUGUGCAUUUUCCAUUUUCCUUUUCAUGAUCCACGUUUUAUUAAUAUUUGUCCUUUCAUGCAUGUUUCUGCUUGAGUGUAAUCUAGCCUGCCUUGCACAUAAGGAAUUGCCUCAAAAGUGAUGCUUGUGUUCCUUAUUUUUACCAGUGUUUCUUUGUUUCUUUCUAGGAAAAUGUCAGGACAAAGCAUCCCCAAUUCUUAUAUGAAUCAAAGUUGUAGAGGAUCCUACAGGGAGGAACUGGAAUUCCAAAUGUUAGAUGGUUUGGUGUUGAAGGCGACUAUAAUGUUCUAGUGAUGGUGUUGGGUCUGAGCUUGGAAGACCUUUUCAACUUCUGCAGUAGGAAAUUGUCUUUGAAGUCUGUUCUUAUGCUCGCCGAUCAAAUGGUAAGGUUCUGUCUAUUUUCCAUUCAUGGUGUAUUAUUUAUAUGGCAGUUUGUUUGGUUUGGUUGUUUUCUUGCGAUCCUUAUUGUUUUUAUGCCAGAUCAACCGAGUUGAGUUUGUUCAUGCCAAGUCUUUUCUACAUCGAGAUAUCAUGCCAGAUAAUUUUCUUAUGGGCCUAGGGAUAUGAGCAAAUCAAGUGAUUUACUGGUUUUUUGAAGUUUACUUUGGGUGUUCUGUUUAAGAGCAUUAUAAAUAUUUGGCAUGAUCUGCGGUGUACUGUUGCACUUGGACCACCGCAGAGUGCAGAGAGUACCACAGAGUGUAGAGAGUAUCAUCUAUGCAUCCACGUUUAAGGGAAACAGUGUGUUUAGCACAUCCCUCAAAAUGUUGAUGGCAGUAAAUGGUUUCCAUGCUACUAAAGUCAUAGUUUUAACCCAUUUCGAAGUGCAUGCAAAUGCACCCAAGAAAAAUAAGUUGUAGAAGAAAAUAAAAAAUGUCACCAAAAAUUGGCAGUAUCUUAGAUGACAUUAAUAAUAAUU